AUUGAACGCUGGCGGCAUGCCUUACACAUGCAAGUCGAACGGCAGCACGGGUGCUUGCACCUGGUGGCGAGUGGCGAACGGGUGAGUAAUACAUCGGAACGUACCUUAUCGUGGGGAAUAACGCAGCGAAAGCUGUGCUAAUACCGCAUACGCCCUGAGGGGGAAAGCGGGGGAUCGAAAGACCUCGCGCGAUUAGAGCGGCCGAUGCCUGAUUAGCUUGUUGGUGGGGUAAAAGCCCACCAAGGCGACGAUCAGUAGCUGGUCUGAGAGGACGAUCAGCCACACUGGGACGGAGACGCGGCCCAGAAUCCUACGGGAGGCAGCAGUGGGGAAUUUUGGACAAUGGGGGCAACCCUGAUCCAGCAAUGCCGCGUGAGUGAAGAAGGCCUUCGGGUUGUAAAGCUCUUUUGUCAGGGAAGAAACACCGGCUCUAACACAGUCCGGGAAUGACGGUACCUGAAGAAUAAGCACCGGCUAACUACGUGCCAGCCGCCGCAGUAA
rnacentral:rRNA from 1 species